UACGGGGGGGGCAAGCGUUGUUCGGAAUUACUGGGCGUAAAGGGCUCGUAGGCGGCCAACUAAGUCAGACGUGAAAUCCCUCGGCUUAACCGGGGAACUGCGUCUGAUACUGGAUGGCUUGAGAUUGGGAGAGGGAUGCGGAAUUCCAGGUGUAGCGGUGAAAUUCGUAGAUAUCGGGAGGAACACCUGUGGCGAAGGCGGCCAUCUGGACGGUCACUGACACUGAGACGCGAAAGCGUGGGUAGCAAACAGG
rnacentral:rRNA from 1 species